UACAGAGGUCUCAAGCGUUUGUUCGGAUUCAUUGGGCGUAAAGGGUGCGUAGGCGGCGCGGUAAGUCGGGUGUGAAAUCUCGGAGCUUAACUCCGAAACUGCAUUCGAUACUGCCGUGCUUGAGGACUGGAGAGGAGACUGGAAUUUACGGUGUAGCGGUGAAAUGCGUAGAUAUCGUAAGGAAGACCAGUGGCGAAGGCGGGUCUCUGGACAGUUCCUGACGCUGAGGCACGGAAGGUCAGGGGAGCAAAACGGG
rnacentral:rRNA from 1 species